rnacentral:lncRNA from 1 species
GUGCGUGUUAGUUUACAUGAAUUUUCUUAAACUUUUUUUUUUUUUAUUAUUAAUUUCAACUCAUGAAAAACAAAGUUAAAAGUUGCGUGGGUAACGUUCCAGCAUAACAAAGAACGCGCAUCGCGCAUCGCCCUAGUCUGGCAUCGCCGAAAAAGUCAAGAUGGUGUACAGAAUCCCCAGAAACAGUAACAACACUUUUGACCACGCGGGUCAACAGCGGUAGGGUACCUCUGCCGUAUGCGACUGUCCAUCAUAAGAUAAGUAAACAAAACCAACCCAACCUAACCUAACUUCCCUAUCAUCAUUUUGAAUUCUGCGUUAUGGCUGCAAGCUGCAAGGUACAUUCUACUUUUUGGCCGUGAUUUUGUUACUUGUUAGUUGUUCGUGCCUGUAAGUCAUGUCGCGAGAUCUAAAAUCUUAUGCUUACUGUUUUGUACCGGGGUGUAAGAACACUACUAAGUCGACUCCUGGUAAGUUUUUUUUCUGUGUUCCGUUGAAUGCAGAAAGUCGGAAGUUGUGGUGUUUGGCUGUCGGCAGGGAUCCAGAUUCCCUGUCUUUAAAAACCAAACGACGUUGCUGCGAAGACCAUUUUAAGUUUGAAGAAGAUGUGGCAAAUUGGCCUUAUUAUAAAGCGUUACUAGAUGCCAACUACCCAAUGCCUGGGAUACGACUUAAAAGGAUGCACUUCCUAAGAAAGACUUAGCUCAGGUAAAGUAUAGAAUUUUUUUGUAGUUUCAAAGUUCUGGAUCUAUUAUGCUGAUGGUCCUACACCUUUAGAAGAAUAAAAGUGAUCAGGAGGAUACCGUUGUCAAGACCAAGAUGGGUCUUCAAACUUUCUGGAAAUUGAAUUAAAUGAUCAAAUUCUUCACUGAAAAAAAAACUCCGGCCUUGGCAGCUGUAUCUACUUACGGGCUGGGUAUAUAGACAUACCGUCCGCGUUCCGGGCUCAGAGGCCAAAAGUUCCGGGCGUAGCAUCUCGAGCAAUCGAACCUAUGGCUCCAGCACCCGGAAUUUUCGGCCUCUGAGCCCGGAACGGACGGUAUGCCUAUAUAGCUCGUAACUUUUUUUUCAGUGUUAUAAUUGUUUUUAAUGAACCUUUUGCCUCAGAAUCUGUUCUUAUCUAAACGUGCUCAAUAGACAAGUCUCCUCUAAUUUGAGAGCAGGAGGAAAGCAGAAAUGAGAAAAUCUGCUAGUAAACGACAUCAUUUGGUGGUGUUUCCUUCUUAUGCACUUACAUUUCAAGAAAUUUGAUGAUUCCGUUGUUUUCAGCGGGAUAUAUUCAAUUUAAAAAUCAAGGAUAACCAUGCAUCCACGUCAUCAGGUAGUUUCCUUUUUUACAUAUGUGUUUUAAAAAACCUUUAUUAUUUUAGAAACCAGCAACCACUUUAAUAUGUCCUGAAGAAGACUCUGGAGAAGAAACUGGCUCAAUAUCAGAGAGUGAACAAGGACAUGAGGAGGAAGACCCUCUUGCUAUCUGUCAAGUGAGUAUCCUAUAAUGAAGCUAAUCUGAAGUCUAACAUUUUGUCUAGUUUUUAUCAAUCCAUAAUCGACUCUAAAAUCAAGGAUACCUUGUAUUCAGCUC